GACGUAGGGCGCGAGCGUUGUCCGGAUUUAUUGGGCGUAAAGAGCUCGUAGGCGGUUUGUCGCGUCUGCUGUGAAAUCCCGAGGCUCAACCUCGGGCCUGCAGUGGGUACGGGUAGACUAGAGUGCGGUAGGGGGAGAUUGGAAUUCCUGGUGUAGCGGUGGAAUGCGCAGAUAUCAGGAGGAACACCGAUGGCGAAGGCAGAUCUCUGGGCCGUAACUGACGCUGAGGAGCGAAAGCGUGGGGAGCGAACAGG
rnacentral:rRNA from 1 species